UACGUAGGGGGCCAGCGUUGUCCGGAUUUAUUGGGCGUAAAGAGCGUGUAGGCGGCUUUACAGGUCCGUUGUGAAAACUCGAGGCUCAACCUCGAGACGCCGGUGGAAACCGUAAAGCUAGAGUCCGGAAGAGGAGAGUGGAAUUCCUGGUGUAGCGGUGAAAUGCGCAGAUAUCAGGAGGAACACCCGUGGCGAAAGCGGCUCUCUGGGACGGUACUGACGCUGAGACGCGAAAGCGUGGGGAGCAAACAGG
rnacentral:rRNA from 1 species